rnacentral:piRNA from 1 species
AUUGUAGUGGUCUGAGCUGUCGUGUGACU